rnacentral:rRNA from 1 species
UACGUAGGGGGCUAGCGUUGUCCGGAAUCAUUGGGCGUAAAGCGCGUGUAGGCGGUCCGGUAAGUCCGCUGUGAAAGUCGGGGGCUCAACCCUCGAAUGCCGGUGGAUACUGUCGGGCUAGAGUGCGGAAGAGGCGAGUGGAAUUCCUGGUGUAGCGGUGAAAUGCGCAGAUAUCGGGAAGAACACCCGUGGCGAAGGCGGCUCUCUGGGACGGUACUGACGCUGAGACGCGAAAGCGUGGGGAGCGAACAGG